GACGAACGCUGGCGGCGUGCUUAACACAUGCAAGUCGAACGGAAAGGCCCCUUUGGGGGUACUCGAGUGGCGAACGGGUGAGUAACACGUGAGUAACCUGCCCUUGACUUCGGGAUAACUUCAGGAAACUGGGGCUAAUACCGGAUAGGAAUCCUUGCUGCAUGGUGGGGGUUGGAAAGCUUCGGCGGUUUUGGAUGGACUCGCGGCUUAUCAGCUUGUUGGUGGGGUAGUGGCUUACCAAGGCUUUGACGGGUAGCCGGCCUGAGAGGGCGACCGGCCACAUUGGGACUGAGAUACGGCCCAGACUCCUACGGGAGGCAGCAGUGGGGAAUAUUGCACAAUGGGCGGAAGCCGGAUGCAGCAACGCCGCGUGCGGGAUGACGGCCUUCGGGUUGGAAACCGCUUUCAGCAGGGGCGAAGCUUGUGGUGACGGUACCUGCAGAAGAAGCACCGGCUAACUACGUG
rnacentral:rRNA from 1 species